GAUGAACGCUGGCGGCGUGCCUAAUACAUGCAAGUCGAGCGAACAGACGAGGAGCUUGCUCCUCUGACGUUAGCGGCGGACGGGUGAGUAACACGUGGAUAACCUACCUAUAAGACUGGGAUAACUUCGGGAAACCGGAGCUAAUACCGGAUAAUAUAUUGAACCGCAUGGUUCAAUAGUGAAAGACGGUUUUGCUGUCACUUAUAGAUGGAUCCGCGCCGCAUUAGCUAGUUGGUAAGGUAACGGCUUACCAAGGCGACGAUGCGUAGCCGACCUGAGAGGGUGAUCGGCCACACUGGAACUGAGACACGGUCCAAACUCCUACGGGAGGCAGCAGUAGGGAAUCUUCCGCAAUGGGCGGAAGCCUGACGGAGCAACGCCGCGUGAGUGAUGAAGGUCUUCGGAUCGUAAAACUCUGUUAUUAGGGAAGAACAAAUGUGUAAGUAACUAUGCACGUCUUGACGGUACCUAAUCAGAAAGCCACGGCUAACUACGUG
rnacentral:rRNA from 1 species